rnacentral:rRNA from 1 species
GAUGAACGCUAGCGGCAGGCUUAAUACAUGCAAGUCGUGGGGCAGCACAGUCCGCCGAAAGGCGGAUGGGUGGCGACCGGCAAACGGGUGCGGAACACGUACGCAACCUUCCUACAGGCGGGGAAUAGCCCAGAGAAAUUUGGAUUAAUACCCCAUAAAAUUUUAAGUAUGGCAUCAUCUUAUUAUUAAAGCUUCGGCACCUGAAGAUGGGCGUGCGGCUGAUUAGGUAGNGGUCGGGGUAACGGGCCCACCCAAGCCUGCGAUCAGUAGCUGAUGUGAGA